CAUUGCCAGCCGCUUCUCUCUUGUUUCCUCUUCCACCUGAUCCGCCGCCACGAGCAUGGCCUCCGCCUUCGGUUAUGACCCUCGUCCACCCAGCUCCGAAGAUGCACACAUCCAUGUCCUCCACAUCCACGGCCAUCGGGAGGAAGCCGAGCAGGAGAGGUACGGGCUAACCCUAGACCGGCCUUCCACGCACUGUUGGGGUGAGGAGGAUAGAGAGGCGGCGGGGGCAGGGACCGAUUGUUCUUCCCGUGGGAGUAGGAUCUGAGCGGGGAGAAGGAGGAGGCGCAUGCGUCGCCACAACACCAAGGAACACCUGACCGUAAAGAUUCUCUUAUUCCUUGAUGCAGAUUUAUUUGUGAAAGAACAGAAUUAGCGAGAGUGGUUGAGCAAGCUCUUCCUGACAUGUUUUUCUUAGAUGACCUUUCUCCAAUUAAGGUAUUUUAGGAAGAUACUAAUCGCUUAAGUUGUUUUGUACAGAGAAGAUGAUUUUGCAUAGGUCUAGUUGUUCUUGAAUUAGUUCCAAUAAGUAUAGUGUUGAUUUGGUUUCUUUUAUUUCUACAGGUUUGAAAACUACGGUCAGAAAAAUUAGUUUGAGGUCACAGUUUUUGCUGGUCUCGAAAAAUGUAUUAAGUUCAUUCUGAACUUUAAGUUCAGAGAAGAUGGUAUUUGUUUUCUGCAGCAAUCAUGCUAAUGCGUGAGGUAUCAUUUAGCCUGUAUAAUAAGUAGUCAAUAGAUUAUAUUUAUUUGCACAUGGAAAUUGAUUGCAACACGCAGUACCAAAGCUAGUAUCUAGAUAAUUCAUUCAAGCCUGAAGCAACACACCCGUACACGGCACCUAAUUGAUCUUUGCGUUGCUCGGUCCUCACGGCUGGAAACGUAUACUAAUACACACGUAUAGGCAAAAAACUGGGCGUAUUGCCUUCUAUCGGGCCUGAUUCUUUUCUUUUAUUUCUCCUGGUUGUUCAAUGUUUACAAAGGGUAUGCAUGCGUAUAUAUAGCAGCUAGGACUACCAGAGGCUAACCUACUUGGUUACAAGUUCUAAUCCUAGUAUACUAGGUAUUUGUUCUGUGUACAACCCGGAUACAACACAACACACGCCAUCGUUAUUUCCAACAUACUCUUUUUGCACUUUAAUUAUCUUCAGCAAAAAAUGUUUUUGGCACCACAGUGGUUUCUUGUAUUAUUGUAUCUUGUGUUUGCAGUUGCUCCCGGCGGUCGGUGCUCCUGUCUGAUUUUAAUAAGAGCCACGGAUGUUUGCAUUUGAAUUCCAUUAUGAUCAUUCAUAUUAUAUAUUGAUGCUCUCUAUGCCUAUAACCAUUAAUGCCUUCUAGUUAUGUUCUAUUUUGUCACUCAGGGCAUAUGCAAGUACUUUCUUUUAGAUUUUACUUGCAACAAAUACCAAUUUGUAACUAAGUGGCCAGAUAUGACUUCGUCCAUCCUUACUUUUGCGGUACUGAGGUGAAGAUGAAUUUGAUAUACUACUUUUGGAGCUCAGCUUUGGUGGUGGAAUUAGAGCAAGAAGUGUCAGAAAUUAAGCGAAGCGUCGUUUUAUGUCCUGUACUUUGUGCCAAUUUCUGACAAUUCUUAGAGGUCUACCAGACUCCUCAUAAAAGCUAACAUGCUCAAGAAUGAUGGAGCACCUUGGUAUAAAGAAGCAUGAGGAGGUAUUGUAGUCGCCGAUGAAGAAUUAUAUCCAUUCAAACAAUGAUGGCGCCCCUUGAUUGAAGAUUAAUAAAGAAUAUAUUUUCUAGUUUUUUUCAUUUCCAAAUUAGAUAUGAGAAGUACAUUGGUCAUGUAAGGAGUGCUUUUGACUCAAAUGUCUUAAAUGUUGUUUUAAUUCCAGAUUUGUAUGUCCGAAUUUUGUUAGUUGAUCUUAUUUUUAUUAUAA